rnacentral:rRNA from 1 species
GGGCCCGCACAAGCGGUGGAGUAUGUGGUUUAAUUCGAUGCAACGCGAAGAACCUUACCAGGGUUUGACAUCCUGCGAAUCUCUUGGAAACGAGAGAGUGCCUUCGGGAGCGCAGUGACAGGUGGUGCAUGGCUGUCGUCAGCUCGUGUCGUGAGAUGUUGGGUUAAGUCCCGCAACGAGCGCAACCCACGUCUUUAGUUGCCAGCAUUUAGUUGGGCACUCUAGUAGGACUGCCUGUGAUAAGCAGGAGGAAGGUUGGAUGACGUCAAGUCCUCAUGGCCCUUACGUGUUGGGCUACACACGUGCUACAAUGGCAGUGACAAUGAGAUGCUAAACAGCGAUGUUAAG